GGAGGAUUACUCAAGUGGUGAAGAGGGUAGUUUUGAAAACUACUAGGCGGUAAAACGUGCGUGGGUUCAACCCCCACAUCCUCCUCCA
rnacentral:tRNA from 1 species